rnacentral:rRNA from 1 species
UGAGGAAUCUUCCACAAUGGACGAAAGUCUGAUGGAGCAACUCCGCGUGCAGGAUGAAGGCCUUCGGGUUGUAAACUGCUUUUAUUUGUGAAGAAUAUGACGGUAACAAAUGAAUAAGGGUCGGCUAACUACGUGCCAGCAGCCGCGGUCAUACGUAGGACCCAAGCGUUAUCCGGAGUGACUGGGCGUAAAGAGUUGCGUAGGCGGUUCGUAAAGCGAAUAGUGAAAUCUGAUGGCUCAACCAUCAGGCUAUUAUUCGAACUCACGAACUCGAGAGUAGCAGAGGUAACUGGAAUUUCGUGUGUAGGAGUGAAAUCCGUAGAUAUACGAAGGAACACCAAUGGCGUAAGCAGGUUACUGGGCUAUUUCUGACGCUAAGGCACGAAAGCGUGGGGAGCGA